GACGAACCGUGCGAACGUUGUUCGGAAUCACUGGGCUUAAAGGGCGCGUAGGCGGACCAUCAAGUCCGGGGUGAAAUCCUUCGGCUUAACCGGAGAAUUGCCUGGGAUACUGGUGGUCUUGAGGGAGGUAGGGGCACGCGGAACUUCCGGUGGAGCGGUGAAAUGCGUUGAUAUCGGAAGGAACGCCGGUGGCGAAAGCGGCGUGCUGGCCCUCUUCUGACGCUGAGGCGCGAAAGCCAGGGGAGCGAACGGG
rnacentral:rRNA from 1 species